rnacentral:rRNA from 1 species
UGGGGAAUAUUGCACAAUGGGGGAAACCCUGAUGCAGCGACGCCGCGUGAGCGAAGAAGUAUUUCGGUAUGUAAAGCUCUAUCAGCAGGGAAGAAAAUGACGGUACCUGACUAAGAAGCACCGGCUAAAUACGUGCCAGCAGCCGCGGUAAUACGUAUGGUGCAAGCGUUAUCCGGAUUUACUGGGUGUAAAGGGAGCGUAGACGGCUGUGUAAGUCUGAAGUGAAAGCCCGGGGCUCAACCCCGGGACUGCUUUGGAAACUAUGCAGCUAGAGUGUCGGAGAGGUAAGUGGAAUUCCCAGUGUAGCGGUGAAAUGCGUAGAUAUUGGGAGGAACACCAGUGG